AUUGUAUACCACUCCAACCGGUUACAAUUUUCUUUACAGAUUGUUUUAUGUUCCACAAACCCUCUUCACUGUUUGCCCAAAACGCUUCUGUUCUUCAGACACGACUCCGAAGCUAUUCUUCGCCAUCGAAGACUAUCCCGCGAACACAACCUGCCCUCAACUUCGCCUCAAGCAGGUUGUGGACCCAAAAGAAAAGGAAAUAGCAAUUGUCACGCAUAGUGGAUUCUUGUUCCAUGUGCAGUUGGCAAUGAUUGUCACCCUUUGAUUAAAAAAGAAAUUUCCAAGCAUUUUGCAAAUUGUGAGCUUCACUCUAUGGUCAUUGUGGACAAAAGCAUGUCAGAAUCAGAUCCCCCAACAACUAAUUAUCCAGGGAAGAUUCCUCCCGACCACGAUGCCCCUAGCGAUGUUGUGGAUGAGAAGAACUGAAGAAAGACAUCCCCAAUUCCUGAUUUGCAGGGAUAAAGAACUUCCAAUUCAUUAGCUUUAGAGGGUACGUACAAGUGUAGAUACGAUGGAUGUCCAUAUUGACCUGGAUGGACUUGUAGCACAAGAAAGACAUGAGGAAUGUCAAGUUAGAACUAAAACAGAUGUGGAAAGCCUUUUGUGGUGAAGAUUCUAAGAAUUCAACUAGUUCUAAUAAUAGUGAGUAGGACUCUGAUGGGUCCAACCAUGAUGACAGCCAACAAAUGGACACAGACAAUUAUGGUUGACCAAACUUUGCAAACAGUGUUACUUUUUUCAGCCAAUUAUUUUGCGAACAGUGUUACUUUUUCUCCCCUUUAUUAGAAAACGAAAAUUGUAAACAACGGCAGACUUCAUGAAUGGCUUAUGUGAUGGACAACAUUUGGAUGGUUUAUGUGAACAAUAUUAUUUAGGAUGAUGCUUCGUCAUUUUGGAUAGAUAUGUCCAACUAAAUAUUUUUUUGUUGCAAUGCCAAUGAUGUAUGUAUAGGUUGUUGAAACUUAUGGAUACCAAUCAACUACGCAGUGGAUACAUUGAUUCCAAUACUUAUGAUAUUUAGGCACGGAAUGUACUUGAAGGAGAUAAUUCGUUCCAUUUCUUUGAUGUUCUUUUUUUCUAAGU